UGCCCAACAAGUNGCCCCUAAAAUGGCAUGGCGCUCAAGCUCCGUCCCGAUGCCGGCCCGCCGGUGGCACUAACGGCUCUUCUUUCGGAGAGACCUCGAGGCCCCGGCGAGUAGGAAGGCGCAGCGGUGAGCGUCGAAGGCUUCGGUGUAAACCGGGCUGGAGCCGCCGCUGGUGCAGAUCUUGGUGGUAGUAGCAAACAUUCAAUCAUGGCAUCUCUAAUUGUUGACCGAAGCGGAGAAGGGUUCCACGGCAACAGCAAUUGACCGUGGGUGAGUCGGUCCUAAGGCCCGGGCUAACCUCCCGUCACUUCAAAUCGAGGUCCUGGUUUUCAGCGUUGCAAAACAAAGAAUCUAUCCAGCCGACCUUUUGGCCGAAAGGGAAAGCGUCUUAACAUUACGCUACCUGACCAUAUACCAUGGCAUACGCGAUCAAAGCGUUG
rnacentral:rRNA from 1 species